rnacentral:rRNA from 1 species
AGGUGCCGGGGCUGUCGCUGACUUUGUGCACGCUCCGGUGCUCUCUUACAAUCCAUCUCACCCCUUUGUGAAUCACCGCGUGGGUGCUCUCCUUUUGGUUUGUUCCAAAAGGGGGCAUUUGCGUUUUUAUACAAAACCACUGCAUGUGUAGAAUGUCUUACUAUUUGUGAUAAUGCACAAUCAAUACAACUUUCAACAACGGAUCUCUUGGCUCUCGCAUCGAUGAAGAACGCAGCGAAAUGCGAUACGUAAUGUGAAUUGCAGAAUUCAGUGAAUCAUCGAAUCUUUGAACGCACCUUGCGCCCCUUGGAAUUCCGAGGGGCACACCCGUUUGAGUGUCGUGAACAUCCUUCAACCUUUCUUGGUUUCUUGACCAGGGAAGGCUUGGACUUUGGGGGUCUUUCAUUGCUGGCCUCUUUGAAGCCAGCUCCUCCUAAAUGGAUUAGUGUGGUCUGCUUUGCCGAUCCUUGACGUGAUAAGAUGUUUCUACGUCUUGGGUUUCGCACUGUCGCUUCAGACCCCGCUUCUAACCGUCUUGCAUUCAAGACAGAGUUUAAACCUGAC